rnacentral:rRNA from 1 species
UACGAAGGGGGCUAGCGUUGCUCGGAAUCACUGGGCGUAAAGGGUGCGUAGGUGGCGCGGUAAGUCGGGUGUGAAAUUUCGGAGCUUAACUCCGAAACUGCAUUCGAUACUGCUGUGCUUGAGGACUGGAGAGGAGACUGGAAUUUACGGUGUAGCAGUGAAAUGCGUAGAGAUCGUAAGGAAGACCAGUGGCGAAGGCGGGUCUCUGGACAGUUCCUGACGCUGAUGAGCGAAAGCCAGGGGAGCAAACGGGG